rnacentral:rRNA from 1 species
AUUGAACGCUGGCGGCAGGCCUAACACAUGCAAGUCGAACGAGUGGCGGACGGGUGAGUAAUGUAUGGGAAACUGCCCAAUGGAGGGGGAUAACUACUGGAAACGGUAGCUAAUACCGCAUACCAUCGGAUGUGCCCAGAUGGGAUUAGCUAGUAGGUGGGGUAACGGCUCACCUAGGCGACGAUCCCUAGCUGGUCUGAGAGGAUGACCAGCCACACUGGAACUGAGACACGGCCCAGACUCCUACGGGAGGCAGCAGUGGGGAAUAUUGCACAAUGGGCGCAAGCCUGAUGCAGCCAUGCCGCGUGUAUGAAGAAGGCCUUCGGGUUGUAAAGUACUUUCAGUGGGGAGGCGUUACUCGCAGAAGAAGCACCGGCUAACUCCGUGCCAGCAGCCGCGGUAAUUC